AAAGCAGCCACUUAAAGGCAUCCCGGAAUUGUCACGUGCCUGGACUUGGCUUUUCUUGGCAGGCUUCAUUUAUCACACACACACACAGACGCAGAGUCAGAUGUGUCAACGUUGCAUGCAACGGUUGCAGUUGCCGCUUGAAGAGCCAUAACUCAUAGACAACACUCGCUGCCUCUCUGUCUCUGUUCCGCACGGGUCCUGUGUCGGUCGAGUUGGUCACAUAAAUGUCACUGCAUGUGGCACAAUUGUGUCGCAAUUGUUGUGGCAAAUAAACACGUCAUAAACCGUUGACUAUCUUCAAGUGCCCCCCGCCCCGACUGUAGGCUGCUGACCAAGAUCCAACAUCCAAAAUCGGAUGUUACCGCCCACAAAACAAAAAAAAAAAACGCCACCCGAAAAAGAAUCGAGACCCCAGCACUUGGCAAUUCAAUUACACUGCACGAAAAUCGAUAUUGCUCGAGUUUUAAGCUUGCUACAAAUUCAAUGUGCGCACACAAUUCAGUGCCAAAUGGGAUUUUGGUCAGGAGCAGAGGCAGAGGCAAAGGCACAGCAACAGCCACACAAAUGGCUGUAAGCCUUAGAUGGAAUAGUAACAAACGCAACAAGAACAACCUUAGAAAACUACACACAUUCAGGCGAUAAGCCGACUAUGGCAUACCCCUGAAAAUUGCAAUUCUACGGGCGGAAUGUAAGCCAUAAAUAAAAUAAAAACAUAGCCAAAAAAUA
rnacentral:sRNA from 1 species